UAGUCAUAUCACGUUGAAACACUGUUUCCUGUGCGAUCACCAAAGCUAAGCAAUGUUGGGCCUGGUUAGUACCUAGAUGGAUGACCGCUGGAAUGUCAAAUGCUGU